GAUUCUGGCUCAGGAUGAACGCUAGCUACAGGCUUAACACAUGCAAGGUCGAGGGGUAGCAGGGUAGCAAUACCGCUGACGACCGGCGCACGGGUGAGUAACACGUAUCCAACCUUCCCAUAACUCAGGGAUAGCCUUUACGAAAGAAAGAUUAAUACCUGAUAGUACUUUUUCAAGGCAUCUUGAGAAAGUUAAAGAUUUAUUGGUUAUGGAUGGGGAUGCGUUCCAUUAGAUAGUUGGUGAGGUAACGGCUCACCAAGUCUUCGAUGGAUAGGGGUUCUGAGAGGAAGGUCCCCCACAUUGGUACCGAGACACGGACCAAACUCCUACGGGAGGCAGCAGUGAGGAAUAUUGGUCAAUGGGCGAGAGCCUGAACCAGCCAAGUAGCGUGAAGGAUGAAGGUCCCUAUGGAUUGUAAACUUCUUUUAUAGUAGAAUAAAGUGAUCCACGUGUGGAUUUCUGUAUGUAUACUAUGAAUAAGGAUCGGCUAACUCCGUGCCAGCAGCUGC
rnacentral:rRNA from 1 species